rnacentral:rRNA from 1 species
CGGGUGAGUAAUGCAUAGGAAUCUGCCCGRUAGUGGGGGAUAACCUGGGGAAACCCAGGCUAAUACCGCAUACGUCCUACGGGAGAAAGCAGGGGAUCUUCGGACCUUGCGCUAUCGGAUGAGCCUAUGUCGGAUUAGCUAGUUGGUGAGGUAAUGGCUCACCAAGGCNACGAUCCGUAGCUGGUCUGAGAGGAUGAUCAGCCACAUCGGGACUGAGACACGGCCCGAACUCCUACGGGAGGCAGCAGUGGGGAAUAUUGGACAAUGGGGGCAACCCUGAUCCAGCCAUGCCGCGUGUGUGAAGAAGGCUUUCGGGUUGUAAAGCACUUUCAGUGGGGAAGAAGGCUUUCGGGUUAAUACCCCGGAAGAAGGACAUCACCCACAGAAGAAGCACCGGC